UACGUAGGGGGCAAGCGUUGUCCGGAUUUAUUGGGCGUAAAGAGCUCGUAGGCGGCCUGUCGCGUCGGUUGUGAAAGCCGGGGCUUAACCCCGGGUCUGCAGUCGAUACGGGCAGGCGUAGAGUUCGGUAGGGGAGAGUCGGAAUUCCGAGGUGUAGCGGUGAAAUGCGUAGAUAUCUGGAGGAACACCGGUGGCGAAGGCGGCAUCCUGGACCAACACUGACACUGAGGAGCGAAAGCCAGGGGAGCAAACGGG
rnacentral:rRNA from 1 species